UUGGCCUAUCUGCCUUUUGGCUAAGAUCUAGUGUAGUAUCUGUUCUUAUCAGUUUUCGAGAGGAAGAAAGCUGGAGUCCUUGCAAAGGAUCUUUUUACUCCAGGGUUGAUUCCGGCCUCGGAUACCAGGCUUGUCCCCGGUUGAAGGCAUGGCUCCCCCUAAGUUCUAAUGCUUUUCUGGUAGGGAUGGUGCUGCUAUGG